ACGAACGCUGGCGGCGUGCCUCAUACAUGCACGUCGAGCGGACGAAUCGAAAGCUUGCUUUUGAUUCGUUAGCGGCGGACGGGUGAGUAACACGUGGGCAACCUGCCCUGUAGACGGGGAUAACACCGAGAAAUCGGUGCUAAUACCGGAUAACACGAAAUGUCGCAUGACGUUUCGUUGAAAGACGGCGCAAGCUGUCGCUACAGGAUGGGCCCGCGGCGCAUUAGCUAGUUGGUGAGGUAACGGCUCACCAAGGCGACGAUGCGUAGCCGACCUGAGAGGGUGAUCGGCCACACUGGGACUGAGACACGGCCCAGACUCCUACGGGAGGCAGCAGUAGGGAAUCCUCCGCAAUGGACGAAAGUCUGACGGAGCAACGCCGCGUGAGCGAAGAAGGCCUUCGGGUCGUAAAGCUCUGUUGUUAGGGAAGAACAAGUAACGCAGUAACUGGCGUUACCGUGACGGUACCUAACGAGAAAGCCACGGCUAACUACGUG
rnacentral:rRNA from 1 species